CCCUUACAAGACAUGUCAAAGGCUCCAAGACGAGACUGCAAGGUUAGCUGAGCUAAAAACAGAGCUCCAUUGCUCAGAUGAAAUGGCAUUACAGUGGAUCUCUGAGGUGAAUGAAUGGGCAGCUGGAGAGACACCAAACGCACUUCAUACCACUGAAGGCACCACACAGACCGAACUUCAGCAGUCCAUUGUGGGACUCUACCUUAGUGUCAAGCAACGGAAGCAAACCCUCUACCGCCAGAAUGACAGCAGCAAGCUUCGCCACCGCCUUCGAAGGCAGGCCUAUGGUCAUCUCCACC